GUAUCUGAAGGAGAGAUUUACAGCUUCAAUGUAACAGAUGGAGGAGUUUAUUACUGUGUGGCCACUAAUGAUCUGGGUAAUCAGACAUCAGCAGAGAUUAACAUGACUGUUGGAGGUGGAAACCUGGUUGGUUUCUACACUAUAGUGAAGACUGUUGGAAUCAUAAUGCUCAUGAGCACACUGAUCUUAUUUGAGUGCUGGUUCAGAUCAAGACGCUCCAACAAACCAGAUACUGAAAGCUGUCAGAUGAACAGAGUCACAUCACAACACAUCAACUAAAGUUUCCACAGGAGGGAAAACUCCACCUUCAAUUAUCACUUAAUUCCCUUCAGUGACUUUCAACAGUUGUACAUGACCAUUUUACUUUGAAUGUAGAGAUGCUGUUGCGGAAAUCGAAACAUUUACUUUGUGGAUAAUUUCAUAUCAUUCCUUCGCUGCCCUGAGUCUGUUAAACAGGGGCUGCUUCAGUCUGACCAUCUUAUUUUUUUAUAGUGUAUCCAUGAAUAUUGAUCUAACACCACACUUCUGUAAGACUGAUCCAGCAUAAUGUGUGGAGAUCCAUCCAAUUUUACACUGUAUUACAGGUACAGCUGUGUUCUUGCUAUUACUAUAGAAUCGAUUUUAAGGUUUUACUAUUUGUUUUUAAAGCUCUCCAUGGUUUGGCUCCAGGUUACAUUUCAGAUCUUCUUAGCCUCCACUUACCCACUCGAUCUCUGCUCUCCUCCAGUCAGAUGGUUUUAUCAGCUCAAAUCUAGAGGGGACAGGGCUUUCUCCAUUGCCGUCCCGAGACUCUGGAAUAGUCUUCCCCCCUUCAUAAAAUUCUCUUCAUCCUUGGAAGUCUUUAAAUCGAUUCUCAAGACCUACUUAUUUUCCAAGGCUUUCGGAUCUCUUUGAUAUCUUUUUUUAUUCUGUCUAUUUGGUCUCUUAUAUUAUGGAUGGUGUUGUAUGUGUAUAUGCGUUAUAUUCACAUAUGUGUGCUUGUGUGUGAAUGUGUACAGUUUUGUAUAUGUAUGUGCAUAUUUGCAUGUACAUUAUAUGUUAUAUACUCUUACAUGUCUUACAAUUCUUUUUUAAAAUGUUUUCUUUCU